ACUCCACUCCUCCGUCGGACCCCUCUCCCCCGAUUCAGAUCCACCCUUCGCGGCCACUGCCACCUACCUCAAGCCGAUCCCGCCGCCUGCGCCCGCGCGCCACCACCGCUCUUCCUCUGCCCGCCGACCCACCCCGUCCCAGAGGCCUCACUCGCCGCCUUCCGCCACGGGGCCGAACCCAACCCAAGCCUCUCCGCGGACCAACUCCUCUCCCCCAACCCCGCCGCCGCGGGCCUCCUCUUAUCCAACCCCAGGCUCUCUAGCAUCGGUGCACCGCUGCCGCCCCCACCCUCUCCCCUUCCCAAGCUGCUCAGGCGGCGCCCAGAUCUGCCACCGCCGUCCUCUACAACCACGCCCAUGUAGCGGCAGAUGAAGGAGGAGUUAGGGGCGGAGCGGCAGGGCCCUUCCUCCGCCUCCGUGGUCCAUGGUGUCUACGGGCCAUUCCUCUGCCUCUACCUCGCCGACUCUCGCCGCCUCUGUGGAGUGAAGAUCUUGACAGGACUGCCUCCCUCCCCUGCCUCGCUCCCCACGGCGGUGAGGCGAGACCGACCGGCGACGCGCGGCCAGGCUACAUAAAGGUUUGAAGCAGCCUACACAACAAUAAAGGAGCUGGCUCUUGUUGGUACUCCUGGCUCUAAGGCUGUUUAGCCAGCAUCGCAUCAGCUUUUGCCGUUGGUUGUGAAGACAAUUCAAGAAAGUGAGUGGAAAUGUGUUCGUUCUGCAAUACAGAGCCGGUUUAAUUUUGUUUUGCAAAUUCCAGUUAGCUUACCUGUGUAUUAUGUUCAGAUAAUGUAGAGCUUGACAAGGAGGCCAUUGAUGUGUUCAUUUGGUGCUUGACUCAGAGUCCAGAGUCCUACAAGCUGUGGGUGAGCGAUAUUUUUGUUUUCUUUGCCUUUGUACAACUCUGUCCCAUACAAGAAAGUGGCUCAGACUGAUGUUUAAUUUCUGUUUCCAGGACAAGCUUCAUGCAGAGAAUACCCAAGCUACAAUUUACUGCAAUUCACAUGUUUUGAAUUCUUCAAUCUUGAAUUGUUCAGUGAUGAUAGCUAUCUUGCACCGUACUAUAAAAUCAUGGAUCGGCAACUAGCUGGUUGUCAAUCCGUUCUUGCUAGAUGUAUCGUUGUUUUUCUUCUUCUAAGAUAAGAUGGUAGCAUCACAAGUCAUCCUAUCAUGAUGUACUAGUUCCUGAAGUGUAAGAUAAGAUGGUGGCAUCAGAUGUGUGUUCUGACUUGUGACUGCUUACUAGAUGGAUACAUGCAGCUAGCUAGCAACCUAGCAGUACUAGUAAGAAUAUGUGUGUUUAAUUCUCUCCCUAUACCUUGUGAUUUAUUCUAGGUAUAUAUAGAUGCCAUCUCUGUCUGGCAACAUAUGGACCUGAUUACAUUCAGGUGCUCAUUGAGCUGUCUAAGAACAAGUAGAUCAUCAUUUCACCAUCUUCGGCCGCCCCAGGAUGCUGGCCUUCAUUCUUCAAAAGUUGGGUGUACAGGAGCUCUAGGAAGAAGAAUCCCGAAGAAAAACCACACCCAGCAAUGCGUUUUUAGCUCACUGAAGAUAGUUAUGUGUAUAUUUAGUUGUAUUUUAUAGCUAAAUACUAGAUUCGUACUAUGUACUUUGCUUGGCUAUUGUAAUGUAAUCUCAGUUUUGGGUGUACAGGAUUGUAAUGUACUUUGCUUGGCUGUUGUAUGAAAUCUUAUGCCUUAUUGGCUCUUUUUGAAUCACAUUAUCUAAUUGCAGAAA